rnacentral:rRNA from 1 species
GUAGCAUAAUCAUUAGGUUUUUAAUUGGAAUCUUGUAUGAAUGAUUGGACAAAAGAAGUACUGUCUUUGUAUUGAAACUUGAAUUUAACUUUUAAGUGAAAAGGCUUAAAUAUACUAAAGGGACGAUAAGACCCUAUAAAACUUUACAUUUAUGUUAAAUUUUAUGGAAUUUGAAAUUAUAAUUAUUAAGUUUAAUUUUUUGNNAUGUUGGGGCAGACAAAANCUAUNAUUNUUUNUAACUGCUUUUAAAGGAAACAAAAAUAANUGGGGAGAGUUAAGGAUUCUUUAUUGAGAUUGAAAGAUUAAGUUACUUUAGGGAUAACAGCGUUAUUUUUUUUGAGAGNUCAUAUUGAAAAAAAAGANUGCGACCUCGANGNUGAAUUAAAAUAUCUU